AACGAACGCUGGCGGCAUGCCUAACACAUGCAAGUCGAACGAGACCUUCGGGUCUAGUGGCGCACGGGUGCGUAACGCGUGGGAACCUGCCUUUAGGUUCGGAAUAACUCAGAGAAAUUUGAGCUAAUACCGGAUAAUGUCUUCGGACCAAAGAUUUAUCGCCUUUAGAUGGGCCCGCGUAAGAUUAGCUAGUUGGUGGGGUAAAGGCCUACCAAGGCGACGAUCUUUAGCUGGUCUGAGAGGAUGAUCAGCCACACUGGGACUGAGACACGGCCCAGACUCCUACGGGAGGCAGCAGUGGGGAAUAUUGGACAAUGGGCGAAAGCCUGAUCCAGCAAUGCCGCGUGAGUGAUGAAGGCCUUGGGGGUUGUAAAAGCUCUUUUACCCGAGAUGAUAAUGACAGUAUCGGGAGAAUAAGCUCCGGCUAACUCCGUGCCAGCAGCCGCGGUAAU
rnacentral:rRNA from 1 species